UACGUAGGGUGCGAGCGUUGUCCGGAAUCAUUGGGCGUAAAGAGCGUGUAGGCGGCUCGGUAAGUCCGCUGUGAAAGUCCAGGGCUCAACCUUUGAAAGCCGGUGGAUACUGUGGGACUAGAGUACGGAAGAGGCGAGUGGAAUUCCUGGUGUAGCGGUGAAAUGCGCAGAUAUCAGGAGGAACACCAAUUGCGAAGGCAGCUCGCUGGGACGUUACUGACGCUGAGACGCGAAAGCGUGGGGAGCAAACAGG
rnacentral:rRNA from 1 species